rnacentral:lncRNA from 1 species
GAAAGUCCGAAGUCCAAAGUUUAAAACGACGACGUGUACUGGUAUCGUCGUCCAGAACCAGAACGAGUGCCUUGUAUCGUCGUCUACAGCGCUGCAUGGUGUUUGAUACGAGCUCCAUUGUUCGACGGACGAUUUGUUUGUGCUGUGGAAGCGAUUGAAAAUUUCUCUAAUCGCAUAGAAAAAUCCUGGUUAAUUCUAAGGUAAUUCCGACUAAUCAUAUUUUGUAAGACUAAUUUUCAACAAUUUGGGGUUUAGAUUUUCUGGGCUCCGAUUGUUGUAGUCGCUAACUGGGUUUGUAUCAAAAUUUCAAACUUCAAUCAUAUUGUUAGAUUUAUUCAAUACUUUAAUUCAAUGAAGUUGAAUUUGAAAAUUGUUCAUAUAUACCAGUGCUAUAUUUUCAACAAUUUUGUUGAUAUGAUUAUGCAAAAUUUUGAAUUAGACACAGUGGAUUAGUGGACUGGACGGUUCCAGUUUUCUAGUGCAUGAAAACCCUAAAUCUUCAGUAGUCUAGUGGAUGGGAAAUUGGUUCUCAAAUUCACUGAUAAUAAAGAGGUACUAAUACUUUCUUUCUCCAACUGUGUAUUAACUCAUCUCUGUAACCCUAGCUGGCUGAGAUUAUUAUUGAUUUAACUUCAUGAACAAGACAGUAAUUUAGUAAGUCUGUGUAACCCUAUUCAUUGUUUAGGAACUUCAAUCAACUUUCUUUUGUUAAAAAUUGAAAUGAAUUACCGCAGGUUUGAAAGGCAUAGGAAACGAGCAGCCUGUAAUGUUAACACUAUUCUCGGUUUUGUACUGUUAAUGCUCUUCUAGUGACAGAUUAAGUGAACCUGUGGUGAUCUUCUUUCUUAUAAUGUUAUAUUUUGAUCAAUAAAGUAAUUACAUCAUUUUCUGGUGAAUCUUUUGCUUUUUUCGUUAAGAUGUUUUAUAUUCCAUAUUUCUUUUUUCUUACAGAACAAGGUUUUCUGAGAGAUGUUAGGUCCGUGUUUUUUUCCUUUUUUGUUUACAUGAUUCAUUUCCUCUUGUUUACUCUGCAGGGUCAUCAAUUUUGCUUUGUUUGUUCCCCUUUAAAAGAAAAUAAUCAAAUUGGUUCUUUUUGGUAUGUGGCUUAUUAAGUGUUAAUAUUUUCCAUCAAAAUUGCUGUAACUUUUUUUUUCUUUGGGAACCUACCUAUGUUGUGGCAGAAAUUCACUUGUCACCCCUUCGUUUGACUUAGAUGCUAAGAUCCUUUACCUCUGUUUUUUACAUUACACAAAUCUGUUAAUGUCACCUAAUCCAUUUCAAACUGUGAUGUCUUGUUUUUUCUUCUUUGUUGAGCGCAGGGAGUGAUACUCAAACUGUUUUAUAUGGGAUUAUCUUUAAACACAAUAAAAAUACGUGAAGGACUAUUUUUCAUGCUGAAUUGUUCCCAAAUUGGAAUCUGGGGAGUAUUUACUUUUCUUCUGUCUUCCAUUUCUUUCAUUUUACUUUUUUUAGGUGGACAAAUCCGAAUCGCAGAAAGUUCGUGUAAGUAGUCAAAUGAGACAUCUGACUGAAUUUGACAUGAUUAUAGUUUCUUAGUGCAUUCUAGGGAUAUGUUGGAAAAUCUCCUAUGCAUGCUUAUAAGCAGAACACACACUACAUAAAAUCCUGAUAUGUCCUGUGGUUGUCUUUGGAAACCUGGAUUGAAACAUUUUUUAGGCUUACUACAAGCUUUGGUAUGUUUUUUGUAAUCUCAAAUAUUUAGAUACAACAAAACAGUUGCAUUGCAUAUCAUUGUAUGAAUAUGGAAAAGUUGGGUUCCAAUAGUGGCUCCUUUUUGUAAUUAUGCUUAAUGAAGCUUUCAUUUUAUGAAUUUGCAGGCAUGGUUUAUUGAUGUUUUCUGGAUAGAAAUCAGCUAAAGGGAAGUAUUUCAUCUUCUAGUCUUUGACAUUAAAAUAUGAAGAGCAUGGGGCAGAUCAGCGCAGGCCCUUGGUUGUUGGAUUGUCAUUUUAUUAUUUGUGGAUGUUUUAUUGGAUCACUGAUCCGAGAAUAAUAUCCCACCAUGAUUAUGUUUAGUUGUUGUAUUCCAUUGAUUGGGUUAAUGGACUGUCCAAAAAAAAUGUACAUAUCUGUAGACAUUUUCACGCAAAUGAACUUGAGUGAAGUAGUUCAAAAUAUUUUGAUGUAAUAUCUAUUGACAUAAUUAAGUUGUUGAAAUAAAACUACAC